UGGGGAAUAUUGGACAAUGGGCGAAAGCCUGAUCCAGCCAUGCCGCGUGUGUGAAGAAGGUCUUCGGAUUGUAAAGCACUUUAAGUUGGGAGGAAGGGCAGUAAGCGAAUACCUUGCUGUUUUGACGUUACCGACAGAAUAAGCACCGGCUAACUCUGUGCCAGCAGCCGCGGUAAUACAGAGGGUGCGAGCGUUAAUCGGAUUUACUGGGCGUAAAGCGUGCGUAGGCGGCUAAUUGAGUCGGAUGUGAAAUCCCCGAGCUUAACUUGGGAAUUGCAUUCGAUACUGGUUAGCUAGAGUGUGGGAGAGGAUGGUAGAAUUCCAGGUGUAGCGGUGAAAUGCGUAGAGAUAGGAAGGAACACCAGUGGCGAAGGCGACCACCUGGGCUCAUACUGACACUGAGGUGCGAAAGCGUGGGGAGCAAACAGG
rnacentral:rRNA from 1 species